ensembl:rRNA 5S_rRNA 5S ribosomal RNA
AUAGACUAGCUAGCUCUCUGCAACUCUUACAUGGUCGCCCACUGAAUCUAAGCAGGGCCGUGCCUGGUCAGUACCUGGAUGGGAGACCACAUGGGAAAGCUAGGUUGCUGUCGGAA